ensembl:lncRNA
UUAUAAAAUAAGGUUCUGCUUUAAAUGGAAUAGCUGUUGUUCAUCAGAGAAUAAAUUAUUCUUUGGACUGAAAUGAUCAUAGAAAUUUUGGCCCAGGAGGUGGGUAAAAUUAAGCUCCAGAUCUGCUCUGGAUGGAUACACACGUGCACGCGUGCGUGCGCACGCGCGCACACACACACACACACACACACACACACACACACACACACGGAGGUCUACCACCCACUAACCUUGAAAACCCAUUCUGUUUUCCCUCUUUCCUGUUUCAGAAGCCUGGUAGCUUCUUUCAGAGCACUGGACUAGGGAAUGAGGAGAGAUGGAAUCCAGUGUCAUUUCUGCCACUCCCUAGCCUGAUUUCCAUCCAUAGCUUAGCAUGGUGCCUAACAAACAGAUCUGAAUUUGCUACUCUGGCAAGUCAAGCCCUGGACGUUGAUGUUUAAGAUGGCAAGUGGCAGUCACUGGAUCUACAUACCUAAGGUCUAAUCCUAACUCUGUUCCUAAACUGUGAGACCUCAAGGAAGUUGAAGCCUGGCUCUCACCUCUCUGAAUCUCAGCUUUCUUAUCUGUAAAAUGGUAAUAAUACUACCUCUCCAGUUUAUGAGGAUCAAAGCGUAUCACGUGUUUAUUAACCUCAAAUCUUGAACAACUUGUCAACUAGUAUCAAUAGCUAGGUACUAAAAAACGUAAACAACUUAAACAAAUUAACAAUACAAAGGUAUUAAAGAAUCAACAAACUUACACAGCCCUAUACCAGCCUGAGUAGAUUGAAUACACCAUCUCAGAAUUUUAACCUUGGAUACAAUUAUAGGAUCCCAGGAGCUGGGCUCUUGGCACCAAAUAGAAAACAUUUAUCAUCAUCAUUAUCAUCACUUGAUCUGUGCUUUCCUUUCAUUUUUUCCCUUGGAACAAAGGAUGGAACCUUUAGCCCAUUAUAUUUUUGUUACUGGGUUGGGUACUAGUUCCCUGCUCUCUCAAGCUCGAAGGAAAUUCAUCAACAAGCAAAUGACUAACACCUAGACCACUGAAUGAUAAGGCAGUGUGGAAGGGGUGAAACAAAGACGGUGUCAGGAAGAGCUGGUUUUGAUCCUUCCUCUGACACUAGUAGUGUGAUCCUGAACAAGUCAUAUAACCUCUCUGAGACUCAACCAACUCUCUAAAAUGUACCAUCUAAGUUUUGGAAGGAUUGCCUUGAAGGAGGGCACCCUCUAAACCUUCAAUAUCACAGAUGUUUCAAAGAAGGAGAGGAAAAAGACUUGAUACAUGGUAAGGAUCCCCAGGAGGAAGGGGGUAGGAAAAGACCAUAGUGCUCUGGGGUGGUCAGGAAAUAAUAUUGACAAGAGCUGACAUUGAUAUAAUAGUUUAUAGGCUACCUACCACAUACAUCCUCUCGAAAACUUUCUUGACCCCCCCUUCUAAUGCUUUUGCCCUUAAAUUACUUUUUAUUAUAUAUGUAUGUACACACACACACACACACACACACACACACAAACACAUAUUAUCUCCUCAGCCCCAUAGAAUGUAAAUUCUUUGAGGCCAGAGACUUCCAUUUUUUGUCCUUUUAUUAUUUGUUAUUUGUUAUUAUUAUUAAUUGUUGUGAAGUGUUGAUUAAGUGAAUGUUGAUUGAUUGAUCUUAUUUGGUCCUCAAAACAAUUUGGGACAAUAGUAGUACUUACCUAUAUACUGUCAUUUCCUCUUUUAUAGAUGGGGGAACUGAGACAAAGUAAUUUUCCCUAAGGUCAGGUGGCAGAUAGAAAGCCUGCUCCCGAUUCCAGAUCCUGGCUUUUUCCAAAGCACCAAGCUGCCUCUGGCCUCAUGAAGGAGAGAUUUGACUUGACCUUGAAAGAUGGAAAGGAGUAGGGGAAGACAAGGAGGGAGUCAUAUGAGCAAAGGUGAAGAGAGGAUGAUAUGGAAGAUCGUGGGAAGGGGAAGACUAGAUGAAGGAAGAGUUAGGGAAAUGACACUUUCACUUCUUCUUGUUAAUUAUGCCCAGCUUCCAAUUUAUAUUUUAAAAUGAUCUGCCCAUUCCCAACUUCUAAGCCUGGACGCAUGCCAUCCUCUAAGGUUCUAAUGUCUUAUUACCCACCACACCUCUUCAUAGCCCUAUCCCAGUCUAACCUCACAGAAUGAUUGUGGGAAUCAUUUGGGAGAUAGGAUGUGGAAGUGCUUUGUAAACAGGAAAAAGUUAUGCAAAAAGUAAGGUAUUGUUUUAGGAAUCUAGUUGUACUAUUUCAUUUGCUGAAAGAGGUGUGUGUGUGUGUGUGUGUGUGUGUGUGUGUGUGUGUGUGAGAGAGAGAGAGAGAGAGAGAGAGAGAGAGAGAGAGAGAGAGAGAGAGAGAGAGAGAGAGAGAGUGAGAGAGAGAGAGUGAGAGAGAGAGACUCCUAAUAUUGAAACGGUCUCCAUUGCAGACCAGCAACCUGUCUGUAACUUAAGAAGACACAGAGAGGGGAGGGCUAAUUGGGAAAUGUAGGUGAUACUCUGAUGGGAUUGGCAAAAAUGGCGAAAAUGACAAAAAUGGAAAAUGACAAUUGCUGGAGGUGCUAGGAAAAACAGGCAUAUUGAUUUUCUAUUGGUGGAGCUGUAAAUUGCAAUCUAGUCAUUCUGUAAAGUAGUUUUGAGCUAUGCCUCCAAAAUCACUAAAUUGUAUUUACAUUUUGAUCCAUCAAUACCAUCAUUAGACCCAUACCCCAAAGAGAUAAAGGAAAAGUACAAAAAUACUUAUUAAUAACUCUUAAUUGUAAAGCAAAGAACCAGAAACUGAAGAGUGUCCAUCAUUUGGGGAAUGGCAGAACAAAUUAAGUCAUAUGAAUGUAAUGGAAUAGUAUUGCCCCAUUUUAAAAAAAAUGAAAAAAGGGAUGGUUUCAGAGAAAUUGGGGAAGACUUGUUUGAACUGAGAGUGAAGCGAUCAGAACUAGGAGAACAAGUUAGAUAAUAACAACAUCAUAAAAAACCUUUUUUUUCCCUUUUCUUAGUGGGGAGAGGAAGCCUCUAAAAAAGGAAAGAAAAGAAAACGUCAUUGAAGCACUUUUUAAAAAAUGCACAGAAGAGAAUAGAAAGUCAAAAAGAAUCAAAGACGAUCAGGAUUGAAAGUUAUAUGUAUUUAUUUUAUAUUUUAAAAGAAAAGCAUGCUGUACAUAAGAGAUUUACACAGUUUAUCUUUUCUCUUUUCCUGUGUGUGCGCGCACGCGCUCAUUUUGUUUGCUAUGUGUUAAGUUCAGAAUAAAAAAAAUUUUAAAUAAUUGUAGACCCCUAUA